UACAGAGGGGGCAAGCGUUGUUCGGAAUUACUGGGCGUAAAGGGCUCGUAGGUGGUCAACUAAGUCAGACGUGAAAUCCCUCGGCUUAACCGGGGAAAUGCGUCUGAUACUGGAUGGCUAGAGUUUGGGAGAGGGAUGCGGAAUUCCAGGUGUAGCGGUGAAAUGCGUAGAUAUCUGGAGGAACACCGGUGGCGAAGGCGGCAUCCUGGACCAACACUGACGCUGAGGCGCGAAAGCUAGGGGAGCAAACGGG
rnacentral:rRNA from 1 species